rnacentral:rRNA from 1 species
GCCGGUGUUAAACCGGAGGAAAGGUGGGGAGUGACGUCAAGUCCUCAUGGCCUUAUGCUUAGGGCUACACACGUGCUACAAUGGGUGGUACAAAGAGAAGCCAACUCGCGAGAGCGCGCCAAUCUCAAAAAGCCAUCCUCAGUUCGGAUUGGAGUCUGCAACUCGACUCCAUGAAGUUGGAAUCGCUAGUAAUCGCGGAUCAGCAUGCCGCGGUGAAUACGUUCCCGGGCCUU